GGCAGUUUGACAACGGGGCACGUUGAAAUGACAUUUGCAGUUCGGCUCGUGCACUAUCAGGUGAAGAUGCGGAACUUUUCUUUUGCUGGAAAGAUUAUCAUGCAGAUACCACAAACAUCCUUCGUAAACAACAAAGAAAAGAAACGAGAUGAAAAGGAAAGAAAUUCGUACACACUGCAUGUCUGCAAACUAAAGCCUGAAGUAACCUGAAGCAACGAUAGGGAACAGCCUGAAGAUCCCAGGGAUAUCCAGGGGAGUUCCAGGAGAGACCUACUGGACAUAAUAGAGACGAUAACCUGAAUUAAAAACACAGUAUUUAA